AAAUUGAAGAGUUUGAUCAUGGCUCAGAUUGAACGCUGGCGGCAGGCCUAACACAUGCAAGUCGAACGGUAACAGGAAGCAGCUUGCUGCUUCGCUGACGAGUGGCGGACGGGUGAGUAAUGUCUGGGAAACUGCCUGAUGGAGGGGGAUAACUACUGGAAACGGUAGCUAAUACCGCAUAACGUCGCAAGACCAAAGAGGGGGACCUUAGGGCCUCUUGCCAUCGGAUGUGCCCAGAUGGGAUUAGCUAGUAGGUGGGGUAACGGCUCACCUAGGCGACGAUCCCUAGCUGGUCUGAGAGGAUGACCAGCCACACUGGAACUGAGACACGGUCCAGACUCCUACGGGAGGCAGCAGUGGGGAAUAUUGCACAAUGGGCGCAAGCCUGAUGCAGCCAUGCCGCGUGUAUGAAGAAGGCCUUCGGGUUGUAAAGUACUUUCAGCGGGGAGGAAGGGAGUAAAGUUAAUACCUUU
rnacentral:rRNA from 1 species